GAUUUUUGAUUUUGUUUAUUUUUAUAUAUACAAAAAUUAAAUAAAAACUCAUAAAUUAAAAAAAUCCGAAAUUAAUUAAAAUUAGAAUUUAAUUAAAUAUCAGGAAAUUAAAAAUUAAAAAAAUAAAUGAGAUCAAAUUAAAAUACAGAAAAAAGUAAAAAAAAAAAUCAUAAAUUUCAAAAAAAAAUUGAAAUUUCAAAAGUUCGAAAAAAGUUUUUUUUUUCAUUUUCAAUGAUGAUAUCGGAAACUAUCAUUGGAGAUAUGCAAAAAAUCGACAUUGUUAAUGGUUAUGUGAGAAAUCAUCAUCAUCACUAGUGAUAUAUUUAAAAGGAAAAAUGAUUGCUACCUACAUGAAGUAUUGGUCACCACAUGGCUAACCAUGCAAACUAAAUUAAUAUAUACAUAGCCACACGAAGUAUAUGUUAUGCGUGACAACAUCCCUCAACUUUAUAAUAUUAUGUAGUUAACAUCACGAGUUUAAUUUCAUUUAUCCAAAAACUGAUGUGGAUGUUAGAGAUCGUUUAAAUAUUUUGUUUCAACAAUUAAAAUAUGACUGAUCCGACUAUAAUUUAACUAAAAUUAGAUUUUGACCCACAUUUAAAAAGCGUAA
rnacentral:lncRNA from 1 species